GUGCCAGCAGCCGCGGUAAUACGUAGGGGGCGAACGUUGCUCGGAAUUACUGGGCGUAAAGGGUGUGUAGGUGGCUGAGCAAGUCGAAGAUGAAAUCCCAGGGCUCAACCCUGGAAUUGUCUUUGAUACUGUUCAGCUUGAGGGUGGUCGAGGAAGACGGAAUUCCCGGUGGAGCGGUGAAAUGCGUAGAUAUCGGGAGGAACACCGGAGGCGAAGGCGGUCUUCUGGGCCACUCCUGACACUGAGGCACGAAAGCUAGGGGAGCGAACGGGAUUAGAUACCCUGGUAGUCCACGCCGUAAACGAUGAGAACUAGGUGUAGCGGGUAUUGACCCCUGCUGUGCCGAAGCUAACGCAUUAAGUUCUCCGCCUGGGGAGUACGGCCGCAAGGCUAAAACUCAAAGGAAUUGACGGGG
rnacentral:rRNA from 1 species